UACAGAGGGGGCAAGCGUUGUUCGGAAUUACUGGGCGUAAAGGGCGCGUAGGCGGCCAACUAAGUCAGACGUGAAAUCCCUCAGCUUAACUGGGGAACUGCGUCUGAUACUGGAUGGCUUGAGUUUGGGAGAGGGAUGCGGAAUUCCAGGUGUAGCGGUGAAAUGCGUAGAUAUCUGGAGGAACACCGGUGGCGAAGGCGGCAUCCUGGACCAACACUGACACUGAGGAGCGAAAGCCAGGGGAGCAAACGGG
rnacentral:rRNA from 1 species